rnacentral:rRNA from 1 species
CCCUUGACAUGUCUAGUAUGGGUUUCCAGAGAUGGAUCCCUUCAGUUCGGCUGGCUAGAACACAGGUGCUGCAUGGCUGUCGUCAGCUCGUGUCGUGAGAUGUUGGGUUAAGUCCCGCAACGAGCGCAACCCUCAUCCUUAGUUGCCAUCACGUUUGGGUGGGCACUCUAAGGAAACUGCCGGUGGCAAGCCGGAGGAAGGUGGGAUGACGUCAAGUCCUCAUGGCCCUUACGGUAGGGCUACACACGUGCUACAAUGGCAGUGACAAUGGGAUAAUCCCAAAAAGCUGUCUCAGUUCGGAUUGUCGUCUGCAACUCGACGGCAUGAAGGUGGAAUCGCUAGUAAUCGUGGAUCAGCAUGCCACGGUGAAUACGUUCCCGGGCCUU